AUGGUAGGGUCUAGAUCGAGUGUUCAUGGAGAAAACCAUGGGGAAGAAGAUGCCCCGGUCACACGUGCCGAGCUGCAGCGACUCGAGAACAACUUACUCCAAGCCAUGGAAAGGAUGCUUCACGAGCGUCCUGUAGCGGGUGGUGAUAGGGUUCGACACCGACAACACCCU
rnacentral:rRNA from 1 species